GUUCUCUAAGGUUAUUUUGAUGAUAUUAAACAUAACUGUUACUCUCUACAGCCCCAUGCUAAUUCAGGAGAAGACGGUCAGACCCAUACAGGAGAAGACAGUGAGCCUCUAAAAUCGCUCCUAAUGAAAAAAGCACCACAAAUCUUUGAGGAGUAGUAUGAAAACACAGGCUUCCUGUCAGGGAAGUCAAGAAAAUGUAUAGUGAAAAUGUGCGUGGGAGACCUAGUUCAGAGGUGUGGUUAUUAUCCUCUUAGUGGAGACAAGUUAGCCUUAGCGAAGAGCAUCAUUACCAUCUUCCCAUCUCUGAGUAUCCAGGUGGCUGGAGAAGGGGAGGGAUUUGAGCAUUUCUAUGAUCCAGCAUCCCACAGUGGAUUCAUUGAGAUAAAAUUGCGUAACCUUCGGCGGAAUCUACAACAACAUGAAAGACGCUACAGAAAGCGAAAAGUAACCAGUUACCCGGAGGAUGCACAAACAUCCAGUGCAACCGAGACCGAAAAUGAUAAUACCAUGAAUGAAUGGGUAACCUUGAUCAAGAGAUUGCGGCCCUCUUCGGAAAACCUUUCAGUAAUAAAGUCUGGGAUGGAAAAAACAUUCACACAGCGCAGAGCAUGGAUUACAAGGGAAUCGCCCACACUUGCAGAAAUAUUGCGUGAAUAUCCACGAUUUAUGGACAUGCCGAGUCUGGUAGGUUUGUUCCUUUUCCUACCUGCUAUUUGAC